rnacentral:rRNA from 1 species
AGCAGCCGCGGUAAUUCCAGCUCCAAUAGCGUAUAUUAAAGUUGUUGCAGUUAAAAGCUCGUAGUUGAAUUUCGGGAUUAAUUUAUUGGUCGUGCUAUUGUACGUACUGGUAUUAUUGAUUCCUACCUUCUGACGAACCAUGAUGUCAUUAAUUUGGUGUCAUGGGGAAUCAGGACUGUUACUUUGAAAAAUUAGAGUGUUUAAAGCAGGCUCACGCUUGAAUACAUUAGCAUGGAAUAACGAAAUAGGACGUUUGAUUCUAUUUUGUUGGUUUCUAGGAUCGACGUAAUGAUUAAUAGGGAUAGUUGGGGGCAUUAGUAUUCAAUUGUCAGAGGUGAAAUUCUUGGAUUUAUUGAAGACUAACUACUGCGAAAGCAUUUGCCAAGGAUGUUUUCAUUAAUCAAGAACGAAAGUUAGGGAUCGAAGACGAUCAGAUACCGUCGUAGUCUU